UCCCUCCCUCCACACGUGGGGAUUACAAUUCGAGGUGAGACUUGGAUGGGACACAGAGCCAUACCAGCACGUAUGGGGGGCACUAAAACUUGUGCUUGGUGCCCAUUCAUCCCACAAGCCUGUGUGGCUGGUCUCCUCGUCUUCAACUCCCUGCCGGGUCUCAGACAGGCAGCCCGCGGUUCCUUCACCCGAACAGGCACACGGGGCUGGGUGCCAGUGAGUGCUGGGGCUUCUCCGAGCACUAGCUCACACCCACGAGCAUGGGCACGCAGGGCAUCGCCUGUGCCGUCCGUGGACAUGAAACACAACCGUGCCGGCCGUGCGCCGUCACGCAGCGCCAACUUCCUCCUGGGGCCUUCUGAGGCACGGGGGCUGGGGCCCCCUGAGACAAGCAUCCCUCACGCUGGGCUGACCCCACAGAACUGUGCGGUCCUUGCUCUUGGGGUCCGCCCCGCUGCCAGCCAGUGCCGCGUGCUGGGGACUCAGGGAGGCCCGCCGGGACCAGUGCGGGGACAGUGACCCGAGCAGAAGCUGGACAGAGCAGGAGAGGAAGGAGAGGAGGCGGUCAGGGCUCUCAGGAACCGGGUCCUGGGCAAGGGGCAGCCAUUUUCAAAUUUUCCGGAAAGCUGUCAGCUCACACUUGAGCGGUAAAAAGAUGCCUCUGGGGACGAGGCCCGUGCAGCUCUCCGGGCAAUGGUGGUGGCUCGGCCUAGAGAGGCGGCAGUGGAACGGAGACCCUGGUGGGGGAUGACAUCAAGGAAGGAGACGGGCAGGAACCCAGAUUUCUGCCUGUGGGCCACGGAAGUGAGGUUCACUGGGCAGGGCAGCCGCACACAGAACGCGGAAACGGCCCCGUAGGCCUGGAGGAGCCGAAGAGCAGGCGGACCCCCUCCGCGGAGGAACAGUUUCCGCCGGGAGCACAAAGCAGCGGACCGGAAGUGGGGGCGGAAGUGCAGUGGGAUCAGUGGCGACUGCGCGCCUCUGCCCGCGAAGUCUGAACUGGCUCAUAGCUGGGGACGCCGUGGCGGCGCUCGACUGGAGUCGGUUGAGUUCCUGAGGGCCCCAGGUUCUGGAAGGUUCGCCCCGGAGACAAAUGAGCAGUCUGUGCCGUAGGGAUUCUCCAAGAGAACCGCGUUGUGUCCCAGUGCACCUGCUCGCAUCACUUACCAGGAGUGCCUGAGAUCCUAAGAUGUUCGGAGUGGUUUUUCCGCACAGACCCGAAUAGCCUGCCACUCAGCCACCCUCUGUGCCCUCCUGAGAACAGGCUGAUAUGCCCAAGAUAGUCCUGAAUGGUGUGACCAUAGACUUCCCUUUCCAGCCCUACAAAUGCCAACAGGAGUACAUGACCAAGGUCCUGGAAUGUCUGCAGCAGAAAGUGAAUGGCAUUCUGGAGAGCCCCACGGGCACAGGGAAGACGCUGUGUCUGCUGUGUACCACACUGGCCUGGCGAGAACACCUCCGAGACACCAUCUCUGCCCGCAAGAUUGCCGAGAGGGUUCAAGGGGAGCUUUUCCCGAAUCAGGCCUUGUCGUCCUGGGGCAGCGCUGCUGCUGCUGCUGAAGAUCCUAUAGGU